rnacentral:rRNA from 1 species
CAGUCGCCACGGGAAUACAGAGGGUGCGAGCGUUAAUCGGAUUUACUGGGCGUAAAGCGUGCGUAGGCGGCUUCUUAAGUAGGAUGUGAAAUCCCUGAGCUUAACUUAGGAAUUGCAUUCGAUACUGGGAAGCUAGAGUAUGGGAGAGGAUGGUAGAAUUCCAGGUGUAGCGGUGAAAUGCGUAGAGAUCUGGAGGAAUACCGAUGGCGAAGGCAGCCAUCUGGCCUAAUACUGACGCUGAGGUACGAAAGCAUGGGGAGCAAACAGGAUUAGAUACCCCCGUAGUCCCUGUCUCUUAUAC